CAAACAACGAUGAUCGGGAUAGUAAAGGUGCCAACAUCCGUAACAGAGAGCCAGGCGGUGGUGAAAGCUUGGACGGAGCUGCUCCUCGAAAAUCACCCAGGAGUUCAUACCUGAAAGCGUCCAGCAUGAUGUGAGUAGGUGAGCGUUACAUUCACGUUACGAAUGAAAUGAGUGGACAUGAAACAGCAGGGGCAACUUGCCAUAUCAUGUUUAUUAGGGUGGUACCACGGGAAGCUUUUCUCGUCCCUACG
rnacentral:ncRNA from 1 species